rnacentral:rRNA from 1 species
UACGGAGGGGGCUAGCGUUGUUCGGAAUUAUUGGGCGUAAAGCGCGCGCAGGUGGUUCCUUAAGUCUGAUGUGAAAGCCCACGGCUCAACCGUGGAGGGUCAUUGGAAACUGGGGAACUGGAGUGCAGAAGAGGAAAGUGGAAUUCCAAGUGUAGCGGUGAAAUGCGUAGAGAUUUGGAGGAACACCAGUGGCGAAGGCGACUUUCUGGUCUGUAACUGACACUGAGGCGCGAAAGCGUGGGGAGCGAACCGG